CUGGGUUUCUGACACGCUGACCCCUACAGUGCCUGAGACAGUCCGGUCUCUGGUUUUGGGGUGACUGUCUGGCUGUGGAUUUCCUCUGUCAUGCCGACUGUGUUCUGCCCCUGGUUUUUAUGACUGCUUCUGGGUUGCGGCCUUGGUUCAACUCUGAACUGUUCCUGUGUAUGUUUGUGGAUUGUUCCAGCCGCCCCUGGCCGAGGUGAAGAUGAGCUAUGGUUUUCCCCUACAGGAGCAUUUUUGUUUUGAGAUCAUUCCCUGUUUUUUGGUCUGCAUACGCUUAGUUUUUUGUUGAGGGGUUUAUUUUGUCCAACCCUUCUGUGUGUGUUCUCGCCUACCUGGACGCCGUCCUCACUCCGCCGCCGCUGGUCCUCUGCACCAAAAGGCUCUGAUAUCCACCAAGGUGGAAAACCAGGCAGUGGGAGGAAAACACAACAUAACUAACUUCUCCACAUGUCUGAGGCAGCAGCAGGUUGAAGGAUGGGGCUGGCGUGCAGAUGCUGCAGGGAGCAGAACGCCAUCAGUCUCAGUCUGCUGCUGCCUGCAGCAGGAAGCAGCUCUGCCCAGACUCCAUUUCUCGUCUCACACAGAUGUGAGGAGGGGGGACUCAUUUAUCCUCAGCCGGACAGCUCACGAUCAGAGUUACAGUCAGCUGUCAACAUUUAAAAUGAUGUUUCCCUGCACUGCUCCGACAUGUUGCUACUUUUCACAAUGUACAUAUUUAUUUCUUGCACAUCAGGCAGAAAGUCGCGUCUGGUGUAGUGAAGAGGUGUCGCAACCUGGCUCCAACUCCCAGUGUGAACUUGGACCGUACACUGAGAACAGAUGUCCCGUUUCACUUGGUUGAUGAUCUGGUGUUUCCUGCAGAAGGAGGAAUGUGUGACACUAAGUGGCUGCUGAAUAAUGGACAAACACCUUUUUAUUAUCGAAGCAGAACGAGGAGGUUUAUGUGAGAAACAGCCAACGCUGAUUCUUUACAAUCACAUUAAAGGACAGGGUCCAUUUCCUUCUUGUCUCUAUUAACACAGUCCAUGUGUAGACUGAAAGGUCGGACUAUUCUGAGUCAGGUGGAUUUCUCUCUCUGUCUCUGCUUCUACUCCUUCAGUCCGUCACAGUGCUGCUGCACCUGCAGUGUCUCCAUCCUCAUGCUUAUCAUGACUCUGACUCUCAGCUGUUUGCCUGUCCUCCUCAGACCGGCCGGCAUUUGAUGCCUCACAGAUUAGACUGCUGGUAUUUGGAGAGGAGAUGUGUGGCCGCUGUCUGGUGGAGAUAGGCAGGUUUUGUCUGCACUGUUAGAUAAUGCUGCUCGGAGCCCGGUGCAGUUUCAGUGAAAUGAAGAGUAGAGUCUGCUUCUAAUCUAGAUGUUUGGAGAAACCCUCUGAGGGAAGGGAGGUGGAUUCCUCCCCUUUCAGUCCACUCAGAGCUUUGUAACUGGGCUGAGGUGCAUCUGAGGAACUGCUGCAAAUGGACAUUAACAAAGUUUGUUCAAGGGACAGUGCCCUCUAGCUGCUGCAGAAUCAGGAAAUAGGUAGGUGGAUUCUUAGUGUCACAGAUGGAUGUGUGAGCAGCUCAACAGGCCCAGACCAGAAAUGACUGUGAACCUUUCUGUUGAAACAUGGCAGCAUUACCAGAAAGAGACACAAAAUGACCACAAACCAGAAAUUGCUUGUUAAGAGUUUGUGUGGACGAAACCCAGAGGAGCCAGAAGACAAAUAUGCUCAGUGUCGGUCACGGAGACAAACACUUUCUGGAACAUUCAGGCAGAAAACCACAGCAACACAAACACUAAGCUGAUGUGACGAGAGUUUAAAUCGUCUUUAUUAUGAUGCCAUCUUCACUGUGCUUUUCAGUAAUUGAACUCAUUUUAACCCUCAACAGGACAAAGACAACAGGGAAGGAGAAACCAGAGGAGCAGAAGCUGCCCGAGGGUCCUGUUGUCAAGUUCUCAGCAGCUGCUCACUGCUCAGUCUGCUACUACAUGUACACAGGCUGCUGCUGUGGAGGCAGAGGGCUCAGAGCAGAGGCAGCUUCAGGAGCAGACGGAUGAAGGAACUGAUGAGGAGGAUAAAACCACAGGACUAAGCUGACACGCAGACAUCACCCUGGUGUGUGUCCGCGCUGUCAGCUGUGAUCAGACCUCGUCAGUGCUGUGAGUGAUGAGCCCAGACUGGACCUGGCUGAGUGACGUGGCCGCCGCCCCAGGACCCAGCCUACGCCUCCUACCUCUUCGAUCAGCUCAGCCUUCCUGUGGC